AUUGCUCCUGCUGCUGAGAUGAGGGACUCACACAUAGACAGUUCAUAUGUCUGGAUAGCUACUGAGAGGGUGAAAGGAAAGACACCAUUAAGAAGAGAAAAAGAUGGCUGGAGUUCAAAACCAAGGAGCCUCUUGAGAAACCUGGCAUGUGGACCCUGUGUGACGAUACUGGGUGGAGACAGAGUCAGCAGCCCAGUUAGAAGCUAUUCCAGAAGUCAUCAAACAGUCAAACAACGUGUUGAGGGUAGUGUGAUGCUUUUUCUGAACUGUGUGGUAGAGAUACGCAGAAGGAGCUCAAAGGAGGGACACUCAGGCCAAGGAAGGCCAGCUGGGGGGGUCCUUGCAUGGGAGAGAGGCCUUGAGCACAGUCCAGGCAAAUGGACUCUGUUGGGGACACUGGUAGCUUGGGGGCUUUUUAGCAUCCAAUGCCCCUUGUCAUGGGCUCCAUGAUACUGCCUCAGUAGCCUUCCUCACUGAGCAUACUCUUGUUGGAAAGCCAAUUCUGGACACCCCUCCCCAUUGCUACUUCCCACUGCUAGAGCCAAGGAUCUUCUCUCACCUCGCUUUGGCUGGGUGCAGCCAGGGGUCUACCCUUGAUUUAAAUUGUAUCAAUUAGAUGCAUGGUCUGUGGAUUCUGACUGUGAAGUUACUGCUCAAAUACAGGGGCCACCUAGCAGUCAGAUGGGCUGCAUCUGCAGUGGCGGUAUGCAAACCAGAUGGUUCCUAUAGCAUGGCCCUGGGUGUGAGGCUUGGUCACUGGGACCUCUGGAGGUGCCUCGGUUCCAUGCCAUUUUCCAUGCCUAGUUCUCAAGCCCCUCGUUGUUCUGAAAGUUCCUGGUAACCUUUCUCUUUUAGUUCAAUACCACAAACAGGCUUUCGUUGGUUGCAAUUGAGAACUUUGGCUGGCACAAGCUAGAUUUAGAUGAUCCCAGGGAAGAGAGGGGAACAUUCCAAGUGGAGGAAACAGCACCAGUAAGGGCUUAGAGACAACGUAGCAUCUACCUGUCUCAGUGGAGACAGAGCAAGGGAGAGGCCUGGUCGUGGUAGUGCUAAACAGCCAGGAACAAAAGGGAAGACAGAACUAAUGUGUGUUGAUUGACUACUUGCGUGUUGGUGACAUUUUUUCCAAAAAUUAUUUUAAUCAAUCCUCACCAUCCUUUGAGGCUAUAGCAUUAAGAAAGAUAAGGAGUUGGGAUUUAAUAUUAGCCCUUGAGAAAAUAUGGUGGGAAUUUCAGGGCCUACAGUGAGGCAGUGGGAGAGAUUAUUUUGGGCCAGAAGGACCCUUCGUUCCUGUUUCUCAAGGCAGUCUGGAGAGCUACCUUCUUGACACAUGUGUAUGUUUUACCUAUGAAGUGACAGGUGAACUAAACAACAUAUGAUACCAACAUGCCUUGUAUAAGUUUGGUCUUUUUUUUUUUUUUUUUUUUUUAGUGUAAAGAAACAAAUAGCUUUAAGCAAGUUUAGCCAGGUACUAAGCACAAACAUUUGACUGGAGUUUAUUUUUUUUAUUGCAGCCUAUCUAUUGUCUUGAAGUGGAUGUCUCAAAAAGAACAUUAUGUUCAAAGUCAUCUUUUUCAUAGCAUCAUAGUAAAUGAUUAUGGCACCAUUCUUAAAACAAUUUUGGGUAGGAUUCACAGCCCCUUACAACUAGAAGGAAGCCUAGUUUGAUCUUUUUAUUUUAGAAAUAAGGAAAUGAAAGGCACAAGAAGGAUUUGCCAGUGGUACAGAGAUGGGCAGUGGCAAAAUAAGGACAGGGAAACGGAGCAUCUUAACUUUGGAUCCAGUCCUCUCACCACUCAACUGCAUUAAGUUUGACAUAGAUUUUAUGAGUACAGUAAAAUUUUAUGUCUAGCUGGGGCUCCUUGGGAUCACCUUCUUAGACAGCCUAAGUAAUCGCAGGCUCUUAUAUAUCUUCUUCCAAGAGCAUUGUUCAUAGCAGUGACAAAUAUCAGAACAUUAAUCAUAUUUUCAUUUUAUAUAGAUCAGGUAACAUGAGCCUUGUACAUCACAUUAUUCCUGUGGUCAUUUCCUAUUAAAUAUUAUGGUAUCGAAAGAAUCGAAAAUCCAUUUUUCAAGUGGUUCUCUGUCCCACGGAGCACCUGGCCCUCCCACAUUAAAGGCUUCAGCUUGUGCAAAGCUCUCAGUUUGUACCCGAUCCUUCUGGAAAGCUAUCCCUGAGCAAGUCUCUUGAUGGGGGUUUCUCUUACAUACUGUCACACUGAACUGAAACUACCUGUUAAUUUCUUUUUGCCUGUUGCUCUAAACUAGAAGCUCCAUGAAGGCAGGGAGCAUGCCUUGUUCACCAGGAUUCCCUGGCAUUUAGGACAGUAUACAAUGGAACACAAUAAAUGUUUCCCGCAUGAAGCAUCUGUACUUAACCAAAAUUCAAAGAAAAAUGAUACACUGACUGUAUUAGAUAUUUUUUAAGGCUUUCAUGGUGAAAGAUGUUUGCACCCAAUGUUGACUCAAUAGGGAGCCAGGGGCUAGGAAGAAUUGUGACUUUUUUUUUUUUCUUCUUGAGACGGGGUCUCACUCUGUCGUCAGCCUGGAUUGCAACAGCAAGAUCUCGG
rnacentral:lncRNA from 1 species